CUAAGAAAGAAGGAAAAGAAAAAAAAAUAAAGAAAGCCAAAGAAAAAAGAAAAAAACGAAACUGCUAUCGCGGUCUAGCGCAGGAACCCGCCCUCGCAACUCUAGAAGACCGCCCUACAUCUAUCCGUCCGCUCCGAAGACCCCUGCAGACCUCCUGCGAGACUCUGCGGCGCAGAGUCCAGGAGUCAAAGUGGGGAGGAUUUGAAAGAAUGGGAAGAGCCACAUAACCCGAAAAGCAUACGCUCGCGAGCAGAGACGCCGAUACACCGCCGGUAACGUUCCCAACCUCCAAGCAACUCAACGAGUUGGGCCGCUUUCCUAGAGUGGAGACGGGAAAAACAAGAAACAAUUACAGCGGAACGCACAACUCGUUUCAGAACCAGACUUUCAGCAUGGAAGGCUCUCACAUCAAGAGGCAGCAGGCGGACGGACGAGAGAAUCACUUGGAGGACAUGCUGACAAGGAGCUUGAUGAGCUCCGGAAUCAAGUCUCUAUUUGAAGAACACAAGGUCUCCAGUUGAUUAGCAAUUGCUCCAAUGUCACCACGGGGGUUUCUCAAAUCCGUUGUCGAGGAAUGACCAGAUGGGUCGUCGCCUGAUUCAUCUAGGCUACCCCCUACCAUCCCCGAAUUAACCUCGAUUUGGGAGUAGCGUUGCGACUUUUCCUUCACCGACACCUGAUGUUUAUAAGAAUAAACGAGGGGCAGUUCACGUCUGAAGCUCUGUGUGGGCCCUGGCAAUUUGGGCAUUUAAUAAGAUUUGAUGUACAUUCCUUCUCACGGUGGUCCAUAGAACAUCUGAAGCAUCUCACAGAGCCCUUGCACAGAGCGGCGGUAUGUCCAAAUCUUUGACAAUUAAAACAUCUAUAUGCCGAAGGGAUAAAAGGGACUACAGGACAGUCGUAGGACCAGCAUCUGAUUGUCUCCGGCAGGGUGUCCCCUAGGAAGGUGACCUUAAUAAGAGAGUUUUAGGAUUGCCCGAGUGAGAGUUGAAAGCCUGAACUAACAAAGCUGCAUCUAGUUCAGGAUCCAUGUCCCUGAUUAGACCAACACGCGUUACCCUGUACUCGGGGAUAAAGGCUAUCCAGUUCGGAUCUAUGUCGCUAACGGACGAAAUCAGGUUGUUGGCCUCUUCUCUAUCUUCCAAGGAGGAUGACGAACGGGGGAGGAGUAGAGUCCGGAAAAACUCUCUGGUGAGGAGAAUCCUGUAAUUCCACUAAUUCGCCAUGGAAAACCUUACUGGGAUGGAAAGACUGAUGGUCCCCAGAAUCCCCCAGGUCCAGAGGUCUCUUGCACCGACGCUGCAGGUCAAAUACGAAGAUCUGGAUACACACACACAAGGAACUCAUGACCCUGUAGAAGGUGAACCCCGCGGCUAGCAACAGGCGCUCAAACAAGUCAAGGCGUUGUCAUACAACACUGGCUAUAUGUUUCCUCCCGUUUCUUUCUUCUUUCAGGUGCAGAUUAUACAGUCAAUGUGUCUAAGCAGCUAUUUGUGCAUGUGCUUGCUUUGCAGGAAUUAAAAAUACUUUGCACUUGAGAUCACUAUGUCAGUUCCCACUCCCCGAGAGUGGAGAGAAAAGCGGAGCGCUCUAUUGCUCUUUAUUAAUAAUAAAUAAACGUAUGAUAAUCGAAAA